rnacentral:rRNA from 1 species
GGACAGAUGGGAGCUUGCUCCCUGAUGUUAGCGGCGGACGGGUGAGUAACACGUGGGUAACCUGCCUGUAAGACUGGGAUAACUCCGGGAAACCGGGGCUAAUACCGGAUGGUUGUCUGAACCGCAUGGUUCAGACAUAAAAGGUGGCUUCGGCUACCACUUACAGAUGGACCCGCGGCGCAUUAGCUAGUUGGUGAGGUAACGGCUCACCAAGGCGACGAUGCGUAGCCGACCUGAGAGGGUGAUCGGCCACACUGGGACUGAGACACGGCCCAGACUCCUACGGGAGGCAGCAGUAGGGAAUCUUCCGCAAUGGACGAAAGUCUGACGGAGCAACGCCGCGUGAGUGAUGAAGGUUUUCGGAUCGUAAAGCUCUGUUGUUAGGGAAGAACAAGUGCCGUUCAAAUAGGGCGGCACCUUGACGGUACCUAACCAGAAAGCCACGGCUAACUACGUGCCAGCAGCCGCGGUAAUACGUAGGUGGCAAGCGUUGUCCGGAAUUAUUGGGCGUAAAGGGCUCGCAGGCGGUUUCUUAAGUCUGAUGUGAAAGCCCCCGGCUC